AACGAACGCUGGCGGCAGGCUUAACACAUGCAAGUCGAACGCUCACCUUCGGGUGGGAGUGGCAGACGGGUGAGUAACGCGUGGGAACGUACCCUUUGGUUCGGAAUAACCCAGGGAAACUUGGGCUAAUACCGGAUACGCCCUUCGGGGGAAAGGUUUACUGCCGAAGGAUCGGCCCGCGUCGGAUUAGCUAGUUGGUGGGGUAAAAGCCUACCAAGGCGACGAUCCGUAGCUGGUCUGAGAGGAUGAUCAGCCACACUGGGACUGAGACACGGCCCAGACUCCUACGGGAGGCAGCAGUGGGGAAUAUUGGACAAUGGGCGCAAGCCUGAUCCAGCCAUGCCGCGUGAGUGAAGAAGGCCUUAGGGUUGUAAAGCUCUUUCAGCGGGGAAGAUAAUGACGGUACCCGCAGAAGAAGCCCCGGCUAACUUCGUGCCAGCAGCCGCGGUAAUACGAAGGGGGCUAGCGUUGUUCGGAAUUACUGGGCGUAAAGCGCGCGUAGGCGGGUGAUUAAGUCAGGGGUGAAAUGCCGAGGCUCAACCUCGGAACUGCCUUUGAUACUGGUCGCCUGGAGUUCGGGAGAGGUAAGUGGAAUUCCGAGUGUAAAGGUGAAAUUCGUAGA
rnacentral:rRNA from 1 species